rnacentral:lncRNA from 1 species
AAGAAAUUGUACAAUCGAGAGAAAAAAGGUAAGAACAAUAACAAUCCCGCUACACGUAUUUGUCGCUUGACUUGCUGGGUUACACGCUGACGUGUCCAAGAAAAGAAAUAAACGGGUCUAGACUCUUGAACCGGCCCCAAAUGCAUCAAACCCUACCGCUAUUUCACUCUCAGCCGCCUCACCCCAAAUGAAGAAAAUCUCUCAUGAAUCAACUAAUGCGAGGAGAUAUAAGGCUACAAGAUUGAAGCCCACCGUACACAGCAGAAUCGGCCGUCGUUGAGGCCUUCUUCUUCGGCAAAAUAUCCGACUGUAGGGGUUCUAGCCUUGCCUCGAUUUCGUCAAAUUUCAGUUUCGCCUCUCUACUUCACGAUCAUUUGCAGGACCCUGAAGGUGCGUUUCUUAUACUUUAUGUGAUAGAAGCAAUUAUAUAAAUAUUUAAUCGUUCUUAUUUCACGACGAAAUUAGUAAUUUUAAAUAUUACUCCGGCACGCUUUGCUCGAACAGUUGGUGGAGAGUCGACGACUUGUUAUGAAAGUGGGAACGACAAUUUUGCAAUAUAUGAUAAUUUGGGCAUCGUUGGACUUAGUAUAAUGGGAAUAUCUCUGUCUGAGUAUAAUCUGGGCAUCUAUUUGGACUUAGUAUAAUGGGAAUAUCUCUGUCUGAAAUUGUUGAUUUGAACUUGAAGUAAUAGACGGUUUGCUGUUAAAUUCUGUGAAUUUUUGAAGUAAUAGAGGUUUUGAAAUAUAGUUGUAUUAACCCAUUGUUGAAUUCAUAAUGGGAAUAUCUCUGUUUGCUGUUUGAAUUAAAUUGUGUUAUUAUUGCUAGUUUUGAGUUAUAUACACAGGCACAAAUUGUGUUAAAGUGAACAGAAUCUGAAUGUUUUGUUUGUUGUUCAGACAUUUAUGUUUGGUUUUAUAUUCGGUUAUUGUGAGUAACUUGAUUGCACUGUGCAAGGGAAUUUUGUUAAAAAUGUUGUUUAGUUAUUUAAUGUAGUGUGUAAUAUGUGUGUCGUUUGUGUGUAGCAUGUGGGAAAGAACUCCGGACUUUGUCAUAGCUGUAGAGAGAAUGAUCACUUGUUUGCGGAUUGCCCAAACAAAAGGUGAUGCCCCUUGUGUAAAUGGGGAAUUGUAAAGUGCUUCGAGGUCGAGAGGGAGACAAAGAACAAGGGAAGAUUGUUCGAGUGCUGCAAUGCUAAUUGUAAAUAUUGGGCAUGGGUCGAUGUGGGAGAAUCAAGCAGUGGGUCAAGUAAUGUUACCGCUAACUCGAACAAUCAUGCAGCACUUGAAGAUGUUCAGCAAUUCUCUCGCAUGUUCCAGUCUCUUUGUCACGUGGUCUCUAAGGAACGAAACAUUGAGAUUUCUUUGAAUGUGACAAUAAGGAAUGCCAACGAAAGUGCGGAAGUGGAUGUGAAAGGGAAGGGGCCAGCAUGAUUAGUGGUUAGCUGAAUAAGUGAUUAGUGUAGUUGAUGUAUUCUAUUAAUAUUGGUGUUUGCACUAAGGUGUUGGCCAGAAAAUUAUUCCUCGCAAACGGUCAUGUUCUUGUCUUAAUGUGAUUAUUUUGGCUUGAGGUUAUUUUUAUGAAAAGCUAGUGUGUGUGAAAUAUUAUUUCAUAUUAAUAGCUUCUAGUUACAUUUUUGAAAGAAAACCGUCAUACAGAUCAUCACUUAGCAGUUUUCUUCUUACGUUUUGCUGUAAAUUUAAGCAUAGAUAGACUUGUGUUUCUAUAUAGAAACUAGAGAGAAAUCUAUCUGUCUGUGGCGUUAGUUGAUAAAUGAUGUUUCCUGCUGAUUGUAUCUUAACUGCAAC